rnacentral:rRNA from 1 species
UACGAGGGGGGCAAGCGUUGUUCGGAAUUAUUGGGCGUAAAGGGAGCGUAGGCGGUUCGGUAAGUCACUUGUGAAAUCUCUGGGCUCAACUCAGAGUCUGCAAGCGAAACUGCCGGGCUGGAGUAUGGGAGAGGUGAGUGGAAUUCCUGGUGUAGCGGUGAAAUGCGUAGAUAUCAGGAGGAACACCUGUGGCGAAAGCGGCUCACUGGACCAUUACUGACGCUGAUGCUCGAAAGCUAGGGGAGCAAACAGG